GGGGGAGGGUUUGGGGUAGAUGGGAGGUGAGAUGGGAAGGGAAUAAAAGUUUUACGGGAAAAGUAGAGGGAGUAAAAAUUUUGGGGGAAAAUAAAAAGUUUUGAGGGUUUUUGGGAGUAAAAUUUUGAGAAAAAGUAAAUGGGAGAGUAAAAUUUUGGUGGGAAAUGAAUUUUGGGUAGAUUGGGGGGUUGGGAGGGGAGGAGAGUAAAAGUUUUGGGGGGAAAGUGGGAAGGAGUAAAAGUUUUGAGGUAAAAGUAAAAAGGUUUGGGAGUUUAGGGUAAAACUGUAAAAUAUUAUAGUUUGAUAUUCGAAUUAUUCGAAUUAUUCGAGUUAUUCGAAUUCGAAAACUCAAAUGGAUUCGAACUCGAAAUUUAAAAAAAAAUUGAGUUGAUU
rnacentral:lncRNA from 1 species